AACAGAGGAUGCAAGCGUUAUCCGGAAUUAUUGGGCGUAAAGGGCGCGUAGGCGGUCUAGUAAGUUACUUGUGAAAUCUAUGGGCUUAACCCAUAACGGCCAAGUAAUACUGCUUGGACUAGAGUGCAGAAGGGGCAACUGGAAUUCUUGGUGUAGCGGUGAAAUGCGUAGAUAUCAAGAGGAACACCUGAGGCGAAGGCGGGUUGCUGGGCUGACACUGACGCUGAGGCGCGAAAGCUAGGGGAGCAAACAGG
rnacentral:rRNA from 1 species